CCGGGCGGGGCGUUUCGGCACCAAGGGCUUGGCCAUCACCUUCGUGUCGGAUGAGAACGACGCCAAGAUCCUCAACGACGUCCAGGACCGGUUCGAGGUCAACAUCAGCGAGCUGCCCGACGAGAUCGACAUCUCCUCCUACAUCGAACAGACCCGAUAAGGACCCCCCAGGCCCCGCCGCCGCCGGGACCCCCCCGGGACCCCCCCUCAUCUUCCACUCCGAACCCCCCCCCCCCUCAAAAAACCCGGCCCGCCCGCGGGGGAGGGGCCGCCACCCCCCCCCCUUCCACCCCGGGGGGGGUUUGUAGAAAAACGGCCUGAAAAGACAAAAAAAAACCCCGAGAAGAAGAAAAACCUCCCAAAACGUGAAGUUUUUCCCCGUGCAGCAGCUGGGGGGAGGGGCCUGGGGAACCUUCUCACCCCCCCCCGGGAUCCCCCAAACCCCCCCCGGGGACCCCCCCCGACCCCCCCGGGCUGUAAAAUUUCUUGUUUUUUGGUAAUAAAGUUGCCGAAACGGCC